rnacentral:rRNA from 1 species
GAUGAACGCUGGCGGUCUGCUUAACACAUGCAAGUCGAACGGAACCUUUCGGGGUUUAGUGGCGGACGGGUGAGUAACGCGUGAGGAUCUGCCUUCAGGUUGGGGACAACAGUUGGAAACGGCUGCUAAUACCCAAUGUGCCGAGAGGUAAAAGCUUUAGUGCCUGAAGAUGAGCUCGCGUCUGAUUAGCUAGUUGGUGGGGUAAGGGCCUACCAAGGCGACGAUCAGUAGCUGGUCUGAGAGGAUGAUCAGCCACACUGGGACUGAGACACGGCCCAGACUCCUACGGGAGGCAGCAGUGGGGAAUUUUCCGCAAUGGGCGCAAGCCUGACGGAGCAAGACCGCGUGAGGGAGGAAGGCUCUUGGGUUGUAAACCUCUUUUAUCAGGGAAGAACACAAUGACGGUACCUGAUGAAUCAGCAUCGGCUAACUCCGUGCCAGCAGCCGCGGUAAUACGGAGGAUGCAAGCGUUAUCCGGAUUUAUUGGGCGUAAAGCGUCCGCAGGUGGUUUAACAAGUCUGCUGUUAAAGGUCAGAGCUUAACUCUGUCACGGCGGUGGAAACUGUUAGACUUGAGUAUGGUAGGGGUAGCGGGAAUUCCCAGUGUAGCGGUGAAAUGCGUAGAUAUUGGGAAGAACACCAGCGGCGAAAGCGCGCUACUGGGCCAUUACUGACACUCAUGGACGAAAGCUAGGGGAGCGAAAGGGAUUAGAUACCCCUGUAGUCCUAGCUGUAAACGAUGGAUACUAGGUGUUGCCCGUAUCGACCCGGGCAGUGCCGUAGCUAACGCGUUAAGUAUCCCGCCUGGGGAGUAUGCACGCAAGUGUG